AGCCAGAAACUCAGAUACUGUCCACCUGGGAAUCUGGGGUGUCUGCUUCGGUUUCCCUCUGCUCUCCUGGGGGUGCCUGGCGGCUCCUGUUGCUGAGAUCUGCUCCCCGGACUCCUCAGAGGCCUGGGGAGAGCGUGCGUCCAUCUGUCCCCAGGGACAGCCCUGCCUGUCCUGCCAAUGGCACCAAGACCGGGGCGGCAGGCCUCCUUCCCACACCGGGAGGGAGAGAGGACCACAUCCGGGCCCCUCCUGGGUGGCGGGCGUCCCGGUCUGCCCUUUCACCGCCAGCCCGGGCACCCCCUGCCGGGCCAGGCACCCCCACUGGUUCCAGGGCGUGGGCACCGACCCCAAGGCCUUCCCCACCCACUCCAUUGUAGGGCUGCAAUAGCACGUGUGCAAGUAUUUGUGGCCAGAUGCCUCCCGUCAGCCCUCCCGGGAGGCCUCCACCAUGAGUCACUGGCUCUGGUCUGGGGUCAGGCAGCAGCGGCCUCGCCCGUUCAGACUUUGGAGGCUUCACCCUGGAGAAGCGGGGCACCGACCCAGCUAGCAGCCUAGAGGGGCUUGGGGGGAAGGGCAAUCGGUCCUGCUCCUGGGCCCUGCCCCUGCUCUGAGUCGCCCGGACUGUGACCCUCAGCGUGGCGGACGAGCUCACGGGCUCUCCAUCCUCGGUUCCUGCCCGCCGUAGAUGAGUCAUGGUGACAGCGGAUGGUCCCACCAGGCCUCAUGAUGUGUGGUUCUGUCCUGAGUGGCUCAGCUGUCAGGUUCCAUGCCCGGGGUGGCCAGUCCCGUGGCCAGGAAGAGCCAGGGCGGCUGCUGUCCUUUACCAAGGCAGACCUUCGUGAUGUAGAGCUACCCACAGGUCACAGGGCAAGUGGUGGGAGGGCAGCAGGGAGAGGAAAGGACUCUUAGGGUCUGAGGUGCUUGAUGGGGCCAGGACAGCCCCCCCCCAUCAUACGUGAGCCCCCAGGAGUGGGGGGAAGAGCCGCCCAGGUUCUUGUCCUGGCCCUGCCCCAACCGAGCUUGCCCUGGGCCAGCCACCAUCCCCUGGCCUCGGUGUCUUGAUCUGGUCCCGAGACACCAGCUUGGGCCAGUUAGGUGAGCUCAUAAUCAGGACAGGGGACUUGUUCCUCCUGCUCACCUGGCCUCGUGGGCUGAACCGUGGCCCCAGGAGAGAUGUCCACCCAGCCCUGUGAAUGUGACCUUCGUGCGACAAGAGCCUUGGCGGGCGUGAUUAGGGUCAAGAUGAGACCAUCCUGGCCGGUGGGGAGGGGACAUAACCCAGCGACAGAAAAAAGCACACACAGACUCACCGGGAAAAGGCGGAGGUCGGAGGGAUGUGUGGGAGCACCGAGGGCUGUCAGCAAGGCCCCGAGGCUGGGAGAGGACCCCCUCCCCGGAACCCUCAGAAGGAACCGGCCCUGCCCACGCAUGAUUUUAGCCUUCCAGUGUGUUGAUCUGUUACAGCUGCCCCAGAAACAGGUACAAGCACAGAGCCCGACACGGGGCUCAAACUCACAAAACCACGAGAUCAUGACCUGAGUUGAAACCAAGAGUUGGACGCUUAACCGACUGAGCCGCCCAGAUUCUUGGAUUUUCAGAGGAGAGCAGACUGUGACCAGUGCUCCUUGUAAGCAAGGACAAGGCCGCGGGGACCACGUGAUAAGGAAGACUCGUGUCCUUGUGCUCGGGACCCAACCCCGCAGUCUGUGUCACGGACAGCGCACGGGGUCUGGCCUCCAGGCAGCCGCGGCAUGGCCGGGGGGACAAGAUCUCCCACCUGGGGCCGAGGGCGGCACAGGACAGCAUGCGCUGGAAAAAGUGGUGGCCCUGAGGCCAGUGGAUGAGCUCUGGGUGAACAUGGGUCCUUCCUGGUCUGGUGCUUGGAGGAGGAAGCUUUCUGAGCAGGGCGGCCAGCAUGGCAUGUGGGGCUCCCCGGAGGUCAACAGGGGCCAGCCCCGCCCCCCCACAGCCCCUGGCAAGACGGCUGUGGAUGAGAGCCACCAUGGGACCCUGACUGCCCUGGAAGAGGCCAGCCUGCCGGGAUGUUCUGUUCUUCCUUAAAGACACACGCACGUGAACACGCUUCCACACCCACACGUGCACGCACAAAUGUAGGGCACUUGGCGGGAUUUGAGCGCUUCUAGCACAGCACGAGAACCCGCUCCUCUCUUCCUGCCCCCCCCCCCCGACCCCGUGCAGUCAGAACCACAGCCCUCUGGCCUGGACUUGAUGGCCACGGAAGAACAGAAUAUCCAGGGGCCACGAGUAGCCACCCGGGAGGGUGACAGUGAGACAGCAGUGGGGGGUCCGGGUGGAAGGACGCGUCAGGAGCUGAGGACAAACGAUGCCAGGGCCUACCUCCCGGCCACGUUUGCCCUCAACCGGCACCCGGGCCGGGAAGUGCAGUCCCGACGCUUUGGACCGGCCACUGGCAAACAACCCCAGGGCGCGGCAGGAAGCAGCCCUGACCCUCACCCUCCUGCUUGCUCCCCUUGGGUCUCCAGCCUCCAGGGGACCCCUCUCGAGGGUCUGCUGACAUCCUGCCAUCCCAGUCUGCCGGACUCCUCUCCACCUGUCUGGAAGACAGCGCUGCUUCCUGACAGGUGUUCCUCUGCCUUCCACAUCCUGGAAGCUUCCCCAGGGCUGAAAAUGCCUGGUGAGUGGCAGGCCAGCCUCAGGUGGACUAUGUGGGGCCUUUACGGUCCAGAGGUUUCCAGCUGGUGUCCCGCUCAGUCUUCCGAUGGCCAGUCGCCCGUAUCCACCUUGGAGCUGAGUUGGGCUGGGAGAUAGCAGAGUGGGAAGCCCAGAGAACGUUCUAGGCGGGCCUGCCAGGGACAGGGAGUGAGCGCCUCUGUCUGGGAGGCCCGUGGGAGGCUAUUGGUCCAACGGCACUGCCAGAGGACGUGUGUGAAUCCCAACUCCCGAGGCAGACGGCUUCGGAGGUGUGGGCCACCGCCUGCCUCUGACGUGGCUCAUUCUGUUCGCCUCUGCUUCCUGGCCCGCUGCGGGUGGAGUCCCCUGCCAGGAACGAUGGUGCCACCUGGCUCCGUCCUCGACGCUCUGACGUCUGCACUCCGCCAUUUGGGCCAAGAUGGAAACCAAGCGGAAUGUUCCUGACGUGGGAUCUCCUCGUCCCACGGUCCCGUGGCACCUGGGCCACGUCGAGUGGGAAGGAGAGCCGUCCCUCCCCGGGUCAUCCUUCCCCUCUGGGAGCAUCGUCCACUGUUAGUUUUGGGGGAAAGUGGAGUCUGCAGAGCUCUCUGGCCCCUUACGACAGACAGGCAGGAGUGUUGAGACGAGGGCUCAGGUGGUCUGAGUCCUAGCGGGGGCUGAGGACCACACACGGAUCCCCCACCACCUCCACGUGGCUCACACCCACCCCAGCCAUCUCCCACCAAAGCACUUCCGGCACCCCGCCCCCCCGCCCCCCACCGGCUCUAUGGCUGGGACCACGGGCCGCCCCCUGCCCCCAGGACCCAGCUGGGAAGUUGGAAAAGUCUGGCCCCACACCAACCGAAACAUGACCCCAGAAGCCCAGGCUCGGCCCCACUGAUUCAUCGGCGGAGCAAACUUCCUGCCCCCACCUGCCCCCACGCGGCUCACGCUCCCGUCAGCCAGAGCUCGGGGAAGAGGGUGAGGCCCUCCUGCUUGCACAGCGUCCCGGCUCCGACCCCACGAGGCUGGACAUCUGCUAGGCUGAUGACGGACGUGACCACAGGCAGACAGUGGGCAUCAGGGCCACAGAAGCCCAGGAUCCGGCGGAAGAGGCCCUAAGAUCAGCGGGCCACAGGGCGCCGUGUGGGGCGGCAGGGAUAGGACGCAGCGUCAGCUUUUCAAGUCCUGUGUGGAUCUUCCUGCACAUUAGCAAAAAGCGUAGAGCAUCAAAACCUCGACGGAAGGAUGUCAUCUCUUGUGGCCGAGACUGGUGAGGAGGGCCGUUAGCCCCGGGCUGGCUGAACAGAAAGCGCCAGGCGCGUCAUGGACCGGCCUGGCUGAAAUUCUGCCGUGGCCGGUGGGUGACGGAGGCGUGGGGUGCAUCGAUCUAGCCCAGGGCUCUGCGAACUGUUUCUGGAAAGGGCCAGAGAGUAAAUAUUUAGGCUCUGUGGCCGGCGGUCUCUGCUGCAUCCUCUCUUUUGCAAAAGUCACAGGAGACACGACAUGGACAAGUGGGCGUGGCCGUGCCACAAUGAAACUUUAUUUAUGGACCUGAAAUUUGACUUUGGUGCAACCUCCACAGGUCGUCUUCCCCUCCCCCCACCCCAGGCACUUACGAAUAUUAAAACCGGGCACCCGCAUGGCUCGGUCGGUUGAGCAUCUGACUUUGGCUCAGCUCACAAUCUCACGGUUGGUGGGUCGGAGCCCCGUGUCGGGCUCUGUGCUGACAGC